AGUGGGAUAGCUGGGUCAUAUGGUUCCUAUCCUAGUUUCUUGAGAAAUCUCCAUACUACUUUCCCAAGUGGUUGCACUAAUUUGCAGUCCCACCAACAAU
rnacentral:pre_miRNA from 1 species